UACGAAGGGGGCUAGCGUUGCUCGGAAUUACUGGGCGUAAAGGGCGCGUAGGCGGCACUGUUAGUCAGGCGUGAAAGUCCUGGGCUCAACCUGGGAACUGCGCUUGAUACGGCAGAGCUAGAGGAUGGAAGAGGCUCGCGGAAUUCCCAGUGUAGAGGUGAAAUUCGUAGAUAUUGGGAAGAACACCGGUGGCGAAGGCGGCCUGCUGGGCAGUAGCUGACACUGAGGCGCGACAGCGUGGGGAGCAAACAGG
rnacentral:rRNA from 1 species